rnacentral:rRNA from 1 species
GACGAACGCUGGCGGCGUGCUUAACACAUGCAAGUCGAACGGAAAGGCCCUGCUUUUGUGGGGUGCUCGAGUGGCGAACGGGUGAGUAACACGUGAGUAACCUGCCCUUGACUUUGGGAUAACUUCAGGAAACUGGGGCUAAUACCGGAUAGGAGCUCCUGCUGCAUGGUGGGGGUUGGAAAGUUUCGGCGGUUGAGGAUGGACUCGCGGCUUAUCAGCUUGUUGGUGGGGUAGUGGCUUACCAAGGCUUUGACGGGUAGCCGGCCUGAGAGGGUGACCGGCCACAUUGGGACUGAGAUACGGCCCAGACUCCUACGGGAGGCAGCAGUGGGGAAUAUUGCACAAUGGGCGGAAGCCUGAUGCAGCAACGCCGCGUGCGGGAUGACGGCCUUCGGGUUGUAACCCGCUUUCGCCUGUGACGAAGCGUGAGUGACGGUAAUGGGUAAAGAAGCACCGGCUAACUACGUG